rnacentral:rRNA from 1 species
UACGUAGGAGACGAGCGUUGUCCGGAGUUACUGGGCGUAAAGCGUGCGUAGACGGUAGCGUAAGUCGGGUGUGAAAGCCCCGGGCUCAACCUGGGAAUUGCAUUCGAGACUGCUCUGCUAGGGUGCGGAAGAGGGGAGCGGAAUUUCCGGUGUAGCGGUGAAAUGCGUAGAUAUCGGAAGGAACACCAGUGGCGAAAGCGGCUCCCUGGUCCAGCACCGACGUUCAGGCACGAAAGCGUGGGGAGCAAACAGG